UCGUCCCUACGGGAGGCAGCAGUGGGGAAUAUUGCACAAUGGGGGGAACCCUGAUGCAGCAACGCCGCGUGAAGGAAGACGGUUUUCGGAUUGUAAACUUCUAUCAAUAGGGAAGAAAGAAAUGACGGUACCUAAAUAAGAAGCCCCGGCUAACUACGUGCCAGCAGCCGCGGUAAUACGUAGGAGGCAAGCGUUAUCCGGAAUUACUGAGUGUAAAGGGAGAGUAGGCGGCAAGGUAAGCGAUAUGUGAAAGCCCUAGGCUUAACCUGAGGAUUGCAUAACGAGCUAUCUAGCUAGAGUACAGG
rnacentral:rRNA from 1 species